GAGGAUAUAGCUCAGUGGUAGAGUGUGUGCUUAGCAUGCAUGCAGUCCUGAGUUCAAUCCUCAGUAGCUCCA
rnacentral:tRNA from 1 species